rnacentral:rRNA from 1 species
UACGUAGGGGGCAAGCGUUGUCCGGAUUUAUUGGGCGUAAAGAGCGUGUAGGCGGCUAGGUAGGUCCGUUGUGAAAACUCGAGGCUCAACCUCGAGACGCCGAUGGAAACCAUCUGGCUAGAGUCCGGAAGAGGAGAGUGGAAUUCCUGGUGUAGCGGUGAAAUGCGCAGAUAUCAGGAAGAACACCCGUGGCGAAGGCGGCUCUCUGGAACGCAACUGACGCUGAGACGCGAAAAGCGUGGGGAGCAAACGGG